rnacentral:tRNA from 1 species
GCCAGGGUGGAUGGAAUGGCAGACACGCCGUGCUCAAACCACGGUGCCCCCCGGGCGUGAGGGUUCGAGUCCCUCUCUCAGCA